GGAUCCAGACUUUGAUUCUGGCUCAGGAUGAACGCUAGCUACAGGCUUAACACAUGCAAGUCGCGGGGCAGCAUGUCGGUUGCUAGCAACCGAUGAUGGCGACCGGCGCACGGGUGAGUAACGCGUAUCCAACCUGCCCUUCACCACGGAAUAAUCCAGUGAAAAUUGGUCUAAUACCGUAUGAGGUCAUACGAUGGCAUCAGAAUAUGACGAAAGGUUUGGCGGUGAAGGAUGGGGAUGCGUCUGAUUAGCUUGUUGGUGAGGUAACGGCUCACCAAGGCGACGAUCAGUAGGGGUUCUGAGAGGAAGGUCCCCCACAUUGGAACUGAGACACGGUCCAAACUCCUACGGGAGGCAGCAGUGAGGAAUAUUGGUCAAUGGGCGAGAGCCUGAACCAGCCAAGUAGCGUGCAGGAAGUCGGCCCUAUGGGUUGUAAACUGCUUUUAUAUGGGGAUAAAGUGAGUUACGUGUAGCUUAUUGCAGGUACCAUAUGAAUAAGGACCGGCUAAUUCCGUGCCAGCAGCCGCGGUAAUACGGAAGGUCCAGGCGUUAUCCGGAUUUAUUGGGUUUAAAGGGAGCGUAGGCCGCCCCUUAAGCGUGUUGUGAAAUGCCGCGGCUCAACCGUGGCACUGCAGCGCGAACUGGGGGGCUUGAGUGCACGCAACGCAGGCGGAAUUCGUGGUGUAGCGGUGAAAUGCUUAGAUAUCACGAAGAACUCCGAUUGCGAAGGCAGCUUGCGGGAGUGCGACUGACGCUGAAGCUCGAAGGUGCGGGUAUCGAACAGGAUUAGAUACCCUGGUAGUCCGCACAGUAAACGAUGGAUGCCCGCUGUGUGCCUUCAUGGUACGCGGCCAAGCGAAAGCGUUAAGCAUCCCACCUGGGGAGUACGCCGGCAACGGUGCAACUCAAAUGAAUUGACGG
rnacentral:rRNA from 1 species